UUUGAAGUCUAAUAUUGUUUCCGUUCUUUUGAAUCAUAAACGUUAUUUCAGUUUCUCUCUUUCUCUCCCUCUCUCUCUCCCCCUCUCCCUCUCCCUCCCACUUGGAUACCCAACUGCUCAUUAGAACAUCUAAAGAGUGUUAGUUAGAUUAAUGGCAUUGGUGAAAAUUCCCAAGACAAAGUACAGGGAGAAAGGGUCUUUUGGGGAUUCCAAUGUGUUGUAUAUUGGAUUCCAUUAGAAGAAAUUCAUAUUCACUCCCUUGGAAGGAAAGUAACACGUUUUUGGAAAGAAAUGAAGGAGAAACCAUUUCCAUCUUCAACAUGUGUGCGUGUAAGUGUAAGUAAAAUCUUCCCUUCCUCAUUGCCAUAAUAUACAUAUUUUUAACCGCUCUCUUUUCUUCUUGCAAGAGUGAAUCAAAUAAAUAAUGAAUAAACUCUACCAUUAAUUCCAUCAAAGUGGAGGAAGUUCAAGGAGAGCUUCGAAAAUUUUAAGUUUGGAGCAUUGCAUUCAGUGGAAAGGAACAUGUCUUUCAUCAUCAUCAUGGUUAUAACCUCGUCUUCUCUAAUUGCUUCAAAGAGGUCGUAACUUGAGCUACGAGAAUUAGAUCAACAUGUUCUAAUAUGUGUUGGAAAGCUGUGAGGAUAAGCUACAAUUUUCGUAUUGAAGUAAGAAGCUAAAUUAGAGUUUAGAAGAGUUGAAUAAUUCAUUUUAUCUCCAGACUUAAUAAAGUAAUUAAUUUUGGGCCAGUUUUAUGUUUAGUUGCUAUUAGGGCCCGAUUUCUCUUGUAAUAUAUAAACUAAAAUGAAGUGUUACUGCUAGGUCAUUUAGUUUUUACACAAACUAACAUUAGACGACUAAAAUUCCUAUGAAGAGCUAAUUUUCAAAGGUUGAUAUGCUGAUAACGAUUUCCGCCAAACCUUAAGGUUAUUGUAAUUUCAA